CCCUUAGAUGUUCUGGGCCGCACGCGCGCUACACUGAUGCAUUCAACGAGCCUAUCCUUGACCGACAGGUCCGGGUAAUCUUUGAAUCUGCAUCGUGACGGGGAUAGAUUAUUGCAAUUAUUAAUCUUCUACGAGGAAUGCCUAGUAGGCGCAAGUCAUCAGCUUGCGUCGAUUACGUCCCUGCCCUUUGUACACACCGCCCGUCGCUCCUACCGAUUGGGUGUGCUGGUGAAAUGUUCGGAUCGGCCGUUUGUCGCGGUUUCCGCGUCAUGUGGCUGAGAAGUUCAUUAAACCCUCCCACCUAGAGGAAGGAGAAGUCGUAACA
rnacentral:rRNA from 1 species